rnacentral:rRNA from 1 species
AUGAAGGAGUGUGAAAAACUGAGGUGGUAUAUGAUGGAUCCGCGUCUGAUUAGCCAGUUGGUGAGGUAACGGCUCACCAAAGCGACGAUCAGUAGCCGGCCUGAGAGGGCGGACGGCCACAUUGGGACUGAGACACGGCCCAGACUCCUGCGGGAGGCAGCAGUGGGGGAUAUUGCACAAUGGGGGAAACCCUGAUGCAGCGACGCCGCGUGAGUGAAGAAGUAAUUCGUUACGUAAAGCUCUAUCAGCAGGGAAGAAAAUGACGGUACCUGACUAAGAAGCCCCGGCUAACUACGUGCCAGCAGCCGCGGUAAUACGUAGGGGGCAAGCGUUAUCCGGAAUUACUGGGUGUAAAGGGAGCGCAGACGGCAGUGCAAGUCUGGAGUGAAAGCCCGUGGCUUAACCACGGGACUGCUCUGGAAACUGUGCAGCUAGAGUGCAGGAGAGGCAGGCGGAAUUCCUAGUGUAGCGGUGAAAUGCGUAGAUAUUAGGAGGAACACCGGUGGCGAAGGCGGCCUGCUGGACUGUAACUGACGUUGAGGCUCGAAAGCGUGGGGAGCAAACAGGAUUAGAUACCCUGGUAGUCCACGCCGUAAACGAUGAUUAAUAGGUGUCGGGGGACGAUAGUGCUCCGGUGCCGGCG